AUAAGCUCCCGGACAACAGCUGGGCGGCUGGCAAGCUUGCUUGCCGAGACGCACAGACAUUGGACGGGGCAACGGGUAUGAGCACGCAGGCGUAUGCGCCGGAGUGCGAACCUGUCAGGAUUGCGGGAGUGUAAUGCACGAAGCAAUCCGCAGCUUAU
rnacentral:sRNA from 1 species